GAUGAACGCUAGCGGCAGGCCUAAUACAUGCAAGUCGAACGAGAUUAUCCAGCUUGCUGGAUAUGAAAGUGGCGCACGGGUGCGUAACGCGUAUGCAACCUACCUUAAUCAGGGGGAUAGCCCGAAGAAAUUCGGAUUAAGACCGCAUAAAAACACAGAAUAGCAUUAUUCAAUGUUCAAAUAUUUAUAGGAUUAAGAUGGGCAUGCGUGUCAUUAGCUAGUUGGCGGGGUAACGGCCCACCAAGGCGACGAUGACUAGGGGAUCUGAGAGGAUGACCCCCCACACUGGUACUGAGACACGGACCAGACUCCUACGGGAGGCAGCAGUAAGGAAUAUUGGUCAAUGGAGGGAACUCUGAACCAGCCAUGCCGCGUGCAGGAUGACGGCCCUCUGGGUUGUAAACUGCUUUUAUUCGGGAAUAAACCUUAUUACGUGUAAUAAGCUGAAUGUACCGAAGGAAUAAGGAUCGGCUAACUCCGUGCCAGCAGCCGCGGUAAUACGGAGGAUCCAAGCGUUAUCCGGAUUUAUUGGGUUUAAAGGGUGCGUAGGCGGCUUAUUAAGUCAGGGGUGAAAGACGGUGGCUCAACCAUCGCAGUGCCCUUGAUACUGAUGAGCUUGAAUACACUAGAGGUAGGCGGAAUGUGACAAGUAGCGGUGAAAUGCAUAGAUAUGUCACAGAACACCGAUUGCGAAGGCAGCUUACUAUGGUGCAAUUGACGCUGAGGCACGAAAGCGUGGGGAUCAAACAGGAUUAGAUACCCUGGUAGUCCACGCCCUAAACGAUGAAUACUCGCUGUUAGCGAUAUACAGUUAGCGGCUAAGCGAAAGCGUUAAGUAUUCCACCUGGGGAGUACGCCCGCAAGGGUGAAACUCAAAGGAAUUGACGGGGGCCCGCACAAGCGGAGGAGCAUGUGGUUUAAUUCGAUGAUACGCGAGGAACCUUACCCGGGCUUGAAAGUUAGUGAAUGAUCUAGAGAUAGAUCAGUGAGCAAUCACACGAAACUAGGUGCUGCAUGGCUGUCGUCAGCUCGUGCCGUGAGGUGUUGGGUUAAGUCCCGCAACGAGCGCAACCCCUAUGUUUAGUUGCCAGCAUGUAAAGGUGGGGACUCUAAACAGACUGCCUGUGCAAACAGAGAGGAAGGAGGGGACGACGUCAAGUCAUCAUGGCCCUUACGUCCGGGGCUACACACGUGCUACAAUGGAUGGUACAGAGGGCAGCGAGCUGGCAACAGUAAGCCAAUCUCAAAAAGCCAUUCACAGUUCGGAUAGAGGUCUGCAACUCGACCUCUUGAAGUUGGAUUCGCUAGUAAUCGCGUAUCAGCAAUGACGCGGUGAAUACGUUCCCGGGCCUUGUACACACCGCCCGUCAAGCCAUGGAAGUUGGGGGUACCUAAAGUAUGUAACCGCAAGGAGCGUCCUAGGGUAAAACCGAUAACUGGGGCU
rnacentral:rRNA from 1 species